rnacentral:rRNA from 1 species
UACAGAGGGUGCGAGCGUUGUUCGGAAUUAUUGGGCGUAAAGGGCGCGUAGGCGGCGCCACAAGUCACCUGUGAAAACUCUGGGCUCAACCCAGAGCCUGCAGGCGAAACUGUGGUGCUGGAGUAUGGGAGAGGUGCGUGGAAUUCCCGGUGUAGCGGUGAAAAUGCGUAGAUAUCGGGAGGAACACCUGUGGCGAAAAGCGG